GUGAAGUGUUCGGAUCGCGGCGACGGGAGCGGUUCGCCGCCCCCGACGUCGCGAGAAGUCCAUUGAACCUUAUCAUUUAGAGGAAGGAGAAGUCGUAACAAGGUUUCCGUAGGUGAACCUGCGGAAGGAUCAUUG
rnacentral:rRNA from 1 species